rnacentral:rRNA from 1 species
UACCUUGUUACGCCUUCACCCCAGUUAUCGGCUCCACCUUCGGCAGCUCCCUCCUUACGGUUGGGUCACUGACUUCGGGCAUUUCCGACUUCCAUGGUGUGACGGGCGGUGUGUACAAGACCCGGGAACGUAUUCACCGCAGCAUUCUGAUCUGCGAUUACUAGCGAUUCCAGCUUCAUGUAGUCGAGUUGCAGACUACAAUCCGAACUGGGACGUUAUUUUUGGGAUUUGUUUAAGGUCACCCUGUCGCUUCCCUUUGUUUACGCCAUUGUAGCACGUGUGUAGCCCAAAUCAUAAGGGGCAUGAUGAUUUGACGUCAUCCCCGCCUUCCUCCGGGUUAUCCCCGGCAGUCUCUCUAGAGUGCCCGGCCUGGCCGC